AUGUCAGUAGGGAGUGCUAGAUUAAUAGGUGCAGGUGUUGCAACAGUAGGUUUAGCGGGUCCAGGGGUGGGUAUCGGAAUGGUUUUCGGGUGCUAUAUUUUGGGGGUGACUCGUAAUCCGAAUAAAGAAGCGGAUUCGUUCAAAUAUUGUAUUAUGGGGUUUGCAUUGACAGAAGCAAUGGGUCUGUUUGUACUAAUGAUGUCAUUUUUAAUAUUAUUUGGUUAAUAGUGCAAAGACUCAGUAAACGCAAGUUUAAUUUUAUUUUAUUGUAAUAUGAUGUAUGUGGACUAUUGUGUGUCUAGAUGGAGAUUGGAGCGUGUAUGUAUGAUGAUAGUGAUAUUUUUUUUUAAGAUUUGUUCGGUGGAUAUAAGUCGAUUGUUUAUUGAUACUAAUUUUGUUAUGAUUAGUAGGUAUAAGAAGUAUGUAUAAAGAAGUGAAACAUCUCAGUAUGUGUGGAAGUAUGAAUAAUGGUGUGAGUAUGCGGCGAGUGAAAGCAUUUGAGUUAAGUGAUGUAUGUUUAGUGUGAACUAGAUGGAUAUAAUACAAGAGAAUUGACAUAACUGAAAGUGAAGAGUACCGUGAGGGAAUGUCCGAAGUGUGAGACAUAUGUUUGUGACGGUUAAGUUUUUUGAUAUUAUAAGUUGCAGGUCUUUGCACUAUAGUAGUUUUAUAGCGUACCUUUUGAAGAAUGGAUUUGCUAGUUUAUUUAUAAUGAAUAGUUUAUAGGUGUUGUUUUGUGCUGUAGACGUGUAUGAAAGUAGUUUUAGUUUAGAUAGUUAUAAUAAGACACGAAACCCAGUGAUCUAUACAUGAUAAGACAAGAGAUUGGUCGAAGCGGUGUCUGUGGCAUCAGGCUCGUAAUAAUUGUGUAUAGGGGCGAAAGACUAAUCAAACUGGGUUAUAGCUUGUUUUCCGCGAAAUGUAUUUAAGUACAGUAGUUUUAAGGUUGUGAUGGUAAGGAGUAUUUUAGAGGGACUUUAAACAUGUAAUAUGAGAUAAAUGAUUUAGUAAUUGGACGGUAUUGUGGUUAGAAGAUCAUUAUGACGAGAAGGAAACAGCCGGUGAGUAAUAGUAAAGAAUGUGUAUUUAGGGAAUAAUGUAAAGUCUUUGUAUCAGAGUAAGAAUAUGGGUAGGCUUAGCAUCAGUUAUCCUUUAAUGAGAAGUGGUUACAGCAUAUGUUGUGUAAAUAUAGGGAUUAGAAUGUAUUGUGGAUACCUUUUGUAUAUGUUUAUUGAAGCUUUAUGUAGAUUUCUAGAUAUGUGUUAUUAUAGAAUUGUAAUGUAGCGGAAAAGUCUAUGACGUAUUUUUUAAGUUUGUUUGUAUAGUGUGAUGAUAAUGGAUGUGAGAAUGCAAGUUUGAAUAGGGUGAAAAGCAGAUGAUGAAUUGUUGUUGAUUUAAAGUUUAAGUGUUUCAAAGAAUGGUAAUACCUAUUUGAGAGAAUGAAGGUCUAAGGAAUGAUAAUGUUUUGAUGAUGUGAUUUGAUAUGUUGUAAUGUGAUUGUGAGUGAUUGAAUAAUUCAAGAAAGAGGGGAAAUGUAGUAUAGAUGUUAUAGUUAAUCCGACACAGGUGAAUGAAUAUAAGAAUAUUAAGAUAAGAUAUGAAGUAUUGUUGGGGAACUCGGCAAAUUGAGGCUGUAACUUAGGUAUAAGGUCGAUGUACAUUUUUGUGCAUAUAUGAAAGGGAGAAUGGUGACUGUUUAUCAAAAACACAAGUAUCUGCAAAUAUUUAAUGGAGGUAAAGAUACUGACGUCUGUCCGAUGUUGUGACUCGAAGAUAUGAUUCAGGGUAAGUUUCGUAUAGAAGAAGCAAUCAAUGACAGCAAUAACUAUAAUUGUUCUAAGGUAGCUAAAUGGCUUGUCAUUUAAAUGGUGUCUUGGUGAAUGACGUAACAACUGUUCUACUAUCCUGAUGAUAUAUGUCUCGAAUUAGGAAUAACUGUGAAGAUACGGUUAAUAAAUGGCAAGACGAGAAGACCCUAUAUACCUUAACUGAAAUCUGGCAAAGAAUAUAGAAGAACAUUUGUGUAUAGUUUUAGUAUCUAUAUCAAAAUGAGUUCUAUAAACGAAUGUUAUUAAGAAGUGUUUACAUGAGUUGUUUGAUGGUUAGUUUAGUUGGGGCGACUACCUUUUAAAUGGUAACAAAGGUGAUCAAGGGCCUAAAAAUAGAAUAAAAUUCAAAAUAGUCGUGAAUAAGAACACAUACAGGUGUUUUAUGUAUGAAUAGUAAUAGUGCAGGUAUUAUUGUUUAUAUGAUUUAGUGAACUGGUUUUGUAUGUAGAAGUAGAAAGCAAUCAACGAAUAAAAGGUACAUUAGGGAUAACAGGCUAAUUUCCAUUUAUAGGACAUAUUAAUGUGGAAGUUUGGCACCUCGAUGUCGACUUAUCAUAUCCGGGCGAAGGAGAGUAUGCCAAUGGUUCAGGUGUUCACUGAGUAAAAUGUUACGUGAGUUGGGUUAAAAACGACGCGAGUCAGUUUGGGUUCUAUCUGCCAUCUUUGUAGUAAGUUUUUUAUUAUAAAUGUAUGUAGUAUGGUAUUUUGUACGAAAGGAUCAUGUAGUAGGUAAAUAUACGAUACUUUGUUAUGAAUGUAUGUUAGUCGCGUUAUACAUGCAACUUCGUGUAAUUUGUAUUGCCAGGAACGUGUAUGAGUAGAGUAUGCAAAUGUUUUAAGUAAAAGAAGUAUGAAAUUUUGUUUAAUAUGUUUAUGAAAGAUGUUCUGGAAAGUAACAGGUUUAUGGACAAAGUG
rnacentral:rRNA from 1 species